rnacentral:rRNA from 1 species
UACAGAGGUCCCGAGCGUUGUUCGGAUUCACUGGGCGUAAAGGGUGCGCAGGUGGCUUGGCAAGUUUGAUGUGAAAGCUCAGGGCUUAACCCUGAAAUGGCAUUGAAUACUGUUGAGCUGGAGGUUUGGAGGGGGGACUGGAAUUCUUGGUGUAGCAGUGAAAUGCGUAGAUAUCAAGAGGAACACCAGUGGCGAAGGCGAGUCCCUGGACAACACCUGACACUGAGGCACGAAGGUCAGGGGAGCAAACGGG